rnacentral:rRNA from 1 species
GACAGAGGUUGCAAGCGUUGUUCGGAAUUACUGGGCAUAAAGCGCACGUAGGCGGUCCGUUAAGUCACGCGUGAAAUCCCCCGGCUCAACCGGGGAAUGGCGCGUGAUACUGGCGGGCUCGAGAUCGGUAGGGGUGAGUGGAACUCCAGGUGGAGCGGUGAAAUGCGUAGAUAUCUGGAGGAACACCGGUGGCGAAAGCGACUCACUGGACCGACACUGACGCUGAGGUGCGAAAGCUAGGGUAGCAAACGGG